rnacentral:misc_RNA from 1 species
AAAAAAAAAGAAAAGGAACAUCAGACGGAAUUCAUACGUCCCAUAUCUAUCUAUCCACGUUAGAAGCACAGGGACGAUUAAGCAGUACACGGAGGGACUGGGCAACAACAGAUGAGAGAAACUAACGGAAAUAUAUGUUCAUCUCAAGUUGCUGCAACCAGGGUUGAGAAUGUAUCUGCCACAGAUGACCCAAAAAAUGCUUGGAGCCAACCCUUCUUACUGGCAUACUCCAAAUAGAAACUGAAUUUCUCCUUUGCAUUUGGAAU